rnacentral:rRNA from 1 species
AGAGUUUGAUCAUGGCUCAGAUUGAACGCUGGCGGCAGGCCUAAAACAUGCAAGUCGAACGGUAACAGCAGAGCUUGCUCUGGCUGACGAGUGGCGGACGGGUGAGUAACGCGUAGGAAUCAAACCAGUAGUGGGGGACAACUUGGGGCGCAUACGCUCUACGGGGGAAAGCAGGGGAUCUUCGGACCUUGCGCUAUUGGAUAAGCCUGCGUGGGAUUAGCUAGUUGGUGAGGUAAAGGCUCACCAAGGCGACGAUCUCUAGCUGGUCUGAGAGGAUGAUCAGCCACACUGGAACUGAGACACGGUCCAGACUCCUACGGGAGGCAGCAGUGGGGAAUAUUGCACAAUGGGCGCAAGCCUGAUGCAGCCAUGCCGCGUGUGUGAAGAAGGCUUUCGGGUUGUAAAGCACUUUCAGCUGGGAGGAAAAAGCCGUGACGUUACCAACAGAAGAAGCACCGGCUAACUCCGUGCCAGCAGCCGCGGCAAUACGGAGGGUGCAAGCGUUAAUCGGAAUUACUGGGCGUAAAGCGCGCGUAGGUGGUUUGUUAAGCGAGAUGUGAAAGCCCCGGGCUCAACCUGGGAACUGCAUUUCGAACUGGCAGGCUAGAGUAUGGUAGAGGUAAGUGGAAUUUCCUGUGUAGCGGUGAAAUGCGUAGAUAUAGGAAGGAACACCAGUGGCGAAGGCGACCUUCUGGGCUGACACUGACGCUCAUGUACGAAAGCGUGGGGAGCAAACGUGAUUAGAUACCCUGGUAGUCCACGCCGUAAACGAUGUCUACUAGCCGUUGGGAGACUUGAUUUCUUAGUGGCGCAGCUAACGCAAUAAGUAGACCGCCUGGGGAGUACGGCCGCAAGGUUAAAACUCAAAUGAAUUGACGGGGGCCCGCACAAGCGGUGGAGCAUGUGGUUUAAUUCGAUGCAACGCGAAGAACCUUACCUGGCCUUGACAUCCUUAAUUUCGCCUAGAGAUAGUUUAGUGCCUUCGGGAACUCGGUGACAGGUGCUGCAUGGCUGUCGUCCGCUCGUGUCGUAAGAUAUUGGGUUAAGUCUCGUAACGAGCGCAACCCUUGUCCUUAGUUGCCAGCGAUUCGGUCGGGAACUCUAGAGAGACUGCCGGUGAUAAACCGGAGGAAGGUGGGGAUGACGUCAAGUCAUCAUGGCCCUCAUGGGCAGGGCUACACACGUGCUACAAUGGUCGGUACAGAGGGUUGCCAACCCGCGAGGGGGAGCCAAUCCCACAAAACCGGUCGUAGUCCGGAUCGGAGUCUGCAACUCGACUCCGUGAAGUCGGAAUCGCUAGUAAUCGCAGAUCAGAACGCUGCGGUGAAUACGUUCCCGGGCCUUGUACACACCGCCCGU